rnacentral:misc_RNA from 1 species
CGAUGGCUAAGGACACCGAGAACCGCUUCAGAGCGGCCACAAGACGACCCGCCUGCGGGCGCCGGACUGCGCCAAACGGAACCGUCAGCGGAAAAGCGCGUGCGAUGCCUCGCGUACGGACGGUGGCACGUCAGCGGCGGGGACGCUGCUUGGCCGACACCGACUUGAUGAUCAGAUCUCCGUUAUGCCAGGCAUCCAUCGGCGUUGUGGCGAGUCCGAGCGCAACUCGAUCAAAGCGGCGACGUCGGGCCCUGUCGAGAUCG